rnacentral:lncRNA from 1 species
AUGAAAUCUGUACUGGCACCCAUCCUAUCUUUUGUCACAGCGGACGCCCUUUACCGAUUGAACCAUGACUGGGUAGCCAAUAAACAUAUGAUGCAUGUAUUCAGAGAUGAGUCAAUAACUUGGCAGCAAGCAAAAGAGUUGUGCAAAUUUGAGAAGGCUGCAAUGCUAAAGAUUGAAAGUGAUGAGGAAGAGCUGUACAUUGAAGAUUACAUUAGGGGGAGAGAAGUCGCUUACUGGAUGGCCCUCCGGAGGAAGAAAGAUGACCUUUUUUACUGGGAUACAGACGGAACGGAGGUGCCAAAAAAGGACGGCUAUUGGACAGUUGGUGAACCAAUUGAAAAUGACAAAGUCAACUGUGCUUUCAUAAAAGCAUACUGCUAUGAAAAUUUGAAAUGUUGGUCGGCUGGUAAAUGUACUUUAAAAGCAAGAACUAUUUGUAAGGUUAAGGCGAAACCAAAGUGGCUGACUUGACUGCGCAUCUGAAGACAAACGUCCCUGUAUUCCCCGAAUGUUGUGAAAGAAACGAGGACACCACUGUAUCGGGACACAGAAGCCACAGCCAGCUGACCAGGAUAUUAAACACAAACAUAAAAAAGACUUCUCUGAUGUCAUUAUUGAAAAACACCCUUUCAGUCCAAUUUCCUUGAGAAUGGCUUUUGCCAGCUGACUGAGGGGCGGGGGUGGUUCCACCAUGGCUCAGUACUCAUGGGUCCUGGGAGUUGUAGCACCAGCUAAAGGUCUUCUCUGCCUGGCCUCUCUCAGGUGGAGCCAGGGCAGUUAAAGUGGUGCAAUGUGCGUGCAGUUGGAGGGUGGUCUCUCAAUCCAAGCUCCUUCUCCAGGAGACCAGAGGGGCCAUUUUCUCAUGCAGAGCCCGACCAUUUUCUUUUGCUUGAGGGGUGCCCCCUCGGCCGCGUCUCAGCCAGAUGAGAUCUUACCCAAUGGAAUCUCUGGAGGGACGGGACGCUUUCGCUGAGAGUUGUGAGCAGUGCACCCAUUUCUUCAGUGGCCUCUGGGUCAGCAGUUAGUGAAGUCAGUCCGCCAACCGAACACAAGCGGCAGCUUCAACAACACCACGAAGAACUAGGUGGCUAGUUGUCCAGAUGUCCUGUGGGGCGGAGGCCUACACCCAGCCCGCAGCCCAGCAGUCUCCUAAACCUGCAAUCCUGCAAGACUAGGCUACACCUCUCUAAGAAAAGCUAGAUCUUUGUGCCCACUUAGAAAUUUGUUACCAGACCCUGAGAGUGUCCUGGGGAACUCCCUGCAGCCUCUCCCACCGAGGAAUUUGCUUGGCCUAUGCUCAUUCAUAAAAAGGCAAGUUCAUUAAUUUCAAAAAACCAAUUUAGGUGCAGGGAGGCAAAUCAGUGCCAUUGAGGUGAUUAAUGACUUUUUUUUUGGGGGGGGGGGGGUUGUUUUGUUUUUUUAAAACUGCCUGCAAAGGGCUGCUUCUUGCAGGGAAUGGGAGUAAAAGCAACGGCCAAUGGAAUGGCAGUUCAUGACGACAGGAGGGCCUCUUAGCAGUGGUUGGAGAGCGCCUGGUUGGACGCCUGACUCCCUCCCACUCGAUGGCUGGUGGAAUGGCCGUUCAUGAUGGCAGGAGGGCUUCUCUGCAGUGGUUGGAGAGUGCCUGGUUGGACGCCUGACUCCCUCCCACUCGACAGCUGGUGGAAUGGCCGUUCAUGAUGGCAGGAGGGCUUCUCUGCAGUGGUUGGAGAGCGCCUGGUUGGUAGCUUGACUCCCUCCCACUCGACGGCUGGUGGAAUGGCCGUUCAUGAUGGCAGGAGGGCUUCUCUGCAGUGGUUGGAGAGUGCCUGGUUGGACGCCUGACUCCCUCCCACUCGACAGCUGGUGGAAUGGCCGUUCAUGAUGGCAGGAGGGCUUCUCUGCAGUGGUUGGAGAGCGCCUGGUUGGUAGCUUGACUCCCUCCCACUCGACGGCUGGUGGAAUGGCCGUUCAUGAUGGCAGGAGGGCUUCUCUGCAGUGGUUGGAGAGUGCCUGGUUGGACGCCUGACUCCCUCCCACUCGACAGCUGGUGGAAUGGCCGUUCAUGAUCGCAGGAGGGCUUCUCAGCAGUGGUUGGAGAGCGCCUGGUUGGUAGCUUGACUCCCUCCCACUCGACGGCUGGUGGAAUGGCCGUUCAUGAUGGCAGGAGGGCUUCUCUGCAGUGGUUGGAGAGCGCCUGGUUGGUAGCUUGACUCCCUCCCACUCGACGGCUGGUGGAAUGGCCGUUCAUGAUGGCAGGAGGGCUUCUCUGCAGUGGUUGGAGAGCGCCUGGUUGGACGCCUGACUCCCUCCCACUCGAUGGCUGGUGGAAUGGCCGUUCAUGAUGGCAGGAGGGCUUCUCUGCAGUGGUUGGAGAGCGCCUGGUUGGUAGCUUGACUCCCUCCCACUCGAUGGCUG